ensembl:snRNA U6 U6 spliceosomal RNA
GUGCAUGCUUUUACCACAUUUACUAAAAUUGGAAGAAUCGAGAAGACUAGCAUGUCCCCUGAACAGGAUGACAUGCAUACCCAUGAAAUGUUCAUAUUUUCU